CAACCACAUCACAAUGAAACACCAGUUCUUGUCUGAUCAUCAAAGUUAAGCAAUGUCACGUUUGGUCAGUACUUAGAUGGGUGACCGCUUGAGUAUACCAAGUGCUGUAAG